rnacentral:misc_RNA from 1 species
AAGUCGUAACAAGGUUUCCGUAGGCGGAACAUUGCAUCCUUUCGGGUACAUCUGCUGAAACCUUAGUGAAUUGGUUAGGCGACUCAAAACAAGUAUAACCCUCGGGGCUUGCCCUCGAGCACUAGCCGUCCCUCGUGGAUAGCGACAUUACCAGUAUGCGGGAACAUUCUUCAAGCGUAGUUGAAUAACCCGCAGUCACAUUUUGUGACUCACAGGCUAAAUGGUAAUGGGCGUAGAUGAUAGUCACCUAUGCUUCAGAUAUAGUCGGUCCCCAGAUAUCUCUGGGAGACUUGUGGAUUCGGCGGGUCUGGGCGCGCGAGCUCCCACGAAGCCAGCUCCCACGAGCGAGUAAGCGUUCCGUAGGUGAACCUGCGGAAGGAUCAUUACCGAGAGAGGGGCUUCGCGCUCCCGGGGGUUUCGGCCUCCACCUCUUCACCCAUUGCGUACCUACCUUUGUUGCUUUGGCGGGCCAUGAGGUUCGCCCUACGCCGGCCUCCGCGCUGGCGAGCGCCCGUCAGAGGCCCUCAAAUUCCUGUUUAUAGUGAUGUCCGAGUUAACACAAAUAGUUAAAA